GAUCCUGGCUCAGGAUGAACGCUAGCGGCAGGCUUAACACAUGCAAGUCGAGGGGCAGCAUAAUGGAUAGCAAUAUCUAUGGUGGCGACCGGCGCACGGGUGCGUAACGCGUAUGCAACCUACCUUUAACAGGGGGAGUAACACUGAGAAAUUAGGUACUAAUACCCACUAAUAUCAUAGAAGGACGAUCUUUAUUGUUGUAAGUAACGUACUAGUAGUAGAG
rnacentral:rRNA from 1 species